rnacentral:rRNA from 1 species
GUAGGGGGCGAGCGUUGUCCGGAUUUAUUGGGCGUAAAGAGCUCGUAGGUGGUUCGGUAAGUCGGAUGUGAAAUCUCCAGGCUCAACCUGGAGGGGUCAUUCGAUACUGCCGUGACUAGAGUUCGGUAGGGGAGUGUGGAAUUCCUGGUGGAGCGGUGAAAUGCGCAGAUAUCAGGAGGAACACCCGUAGCGAAGGCGGCACUCUGGGCCGAUACUGACACUGAGGAGCGAAAGCGUGGGGAGCGAACAGGAUUAGAUACCCUGGUAGUCCACGCCGUAAACGUUGGGCACUAGGUGUGGGACUCUAUCGACGGGUUCCGUGCCGUAGCUAACGCAUUAAGUGCCCCGCCUGGGGAGUACGGCCGCAAGGCUA